rnacentral:ncRNA from 2 species
UAGGUUCUGUACGACUGGCGGAUAAGUGGGAGCACCCACAGGGAGUACAGAAAUUUAGAAAUGCCGACCGCCUGGGCGACCUUU